AGGGUGGUGGAGGAUGAAGGGCACUCGGAAGAGGGGCGGAUCGGAGAUACUCUUUUGCCUCCUGCUGCCAGAAGGUCCCCCCGGGAGCCGAGCAGUCGAGCAGUGCUUACCUUGUUCCCUUGGAGCAGGUGUCCCAACACCCUCUUUAACGGAGUAGAAAAAUUGUGGCCAGGAGAUAAGCCUGCCGGGAACUCAUCCUGAUCCUAAACAAGAAGGAGCCACUUUGCUUAGUCAGGACUGGGUGAGGCGCUUUUGCAGAAGCCCCAGAAAUAACCCUCAUCAGCUGCUCCUUUGGUGGUGGCCCCCAUGCCACUGGCAGGCUUCCAGCAACUGAGUUAAGCGGGCCUGGUGAUCACCAAGAGAGCUGCCUUCGAGGGCCCAGUGCUGCAAGGAAGUGUCUCGACGCCCCCUGGUGGCACCGCGAGGCACAGCGCAGCCACCCGAUAGGAGAAGGCGGCAGCGGGAAGCAGAAGCGGGGGAGGGCGGUGCGGUCGCUCACCCUGGACGGCCACGCCCACAGCGCCCGCACCUUCCCAGCAAGGCAGCGUCCUGUAAUCUCGUGCAAUGCUUUCGCGGCUCUGCAUUCCUGGCCCUACGGGGAGUUGAUGAAGUUGGAUUCUACACGGCCGGGCAGAGCAGCUUUGAUCCCUUAACGGGAUCUUCAGACGGCCAGCGCAAGGUGACUCGCAGCCGGACCCGCGGGCCACGUGCGCGCCUAAGGGACGGGGAAGCGGCAUGGCGGGGCUGAAGACAGCGCAGGGUUUGUGCCUUUUGUCGCCACCAGACCAGCAGAAGCAGCAGAACAGAAGGGAAGCAACGGCUUCUCCAGGCCGCCAGCUUCCAAACGGUUUGCGUUCCACCUCCUUCGCGAGGGUCUCUGGCUGGCUACCAGCAGCUGAACUGCAUCUCCCCGCCAGCAGCACCCCCUCCGAUCAUCAGGCGCCCCAGCUGAGCACGGAGCCGUCUGGAGCAGAGGGGCAGAACCCUGGCGCCGCAAAGCGACCCAAGGCUGGUCCGGGAGGGCUUUUGGCCAGGGAGGGCACGGGAGACGCCCGUGUCUCCCCAAGCCAAAAUACGCACUCCCUGGGGCCAGCUGUCUUCUUCAGGAACCUGAGCGGGAAAGGAGCCCCGAAGCGUUCUUAAGAAUCAUAGAAUCAUAGAGUUGGAAGGGACCUCCAGGGUCAUCGAGUCCAACCCCCUGCUCAAUGCAGGAUUCACUAAAGCAUCCCAGACAGAUAACUGUCCAGCCUCUCCUUGAAGACCUCCAGCGAAGGAGAGCCCACCACCUCCUGUGGCAACCUGUUCCAAUGGUCCUUGCCCUUAUGGUCAGAAAGUUUUUCCUAAUAUCUAGCCUGUAUCUACUCCCUUGAAGUUUCAUCCCAUUGUUUCUAAUCUAGUUCUUGCUCUUCCCUGGCACUCGUGACGACCACGACUGACCGCAGCAGGACGCACUUGCUGCCAUUGCACCUCACCCCAGUGUCCACUGCGUGAUCAUAGGAGCGCCCCACAUCGCGGGGAGUUUUGCCACUGGUUAUGCCUUUUCGCUUUAUUCCUGAGUGGUCAAAAUGGAGGCCCAAGUCCAGCCAAAGAGGGGUGAGCAGCUGGAGCAUGGGAAGCCCAUCGGCGUGAGGGUGAGUGAGAAGGGGCCGCCUCCGGGGAAGGAUGCGAGGGCUUUGGCGCCCAGCCCUGCCACGGGCGAUGCCCUCUCCUCUGCCACUCUGAUCCCCGGAAAUGGCUGCAAGGCGUGUCGGCGCGCGUCUCCCGGGACGGCCUCUGGCUUUCAAGACCCGGGGGGGGGCUGGCGCGCUGCUUGCCCCAGACAGAGCCCCACUCUGGGAGGAGU
ensembl:lncRNA